AGAGUUUGAUCAUGGCUCAGGAUGAACGCUAGCGGCAGGCCUAAUACAUGCAAGACGAACGGUAAGUUGAGUAGCAAUACUUGACCAAGAGUGUCGUAAGGGUGCGUAACACGUAUGCAAUCUGCCCUCAACAGGAGGAUAGCUCCCCGAAAGGGGAAUUAAUACUGCGUAAGAUUGUAGUUCGGCAUCGGACAGCAAUUAAAACCGAGGUGGUUGAGGAUGAGCAUGCGCAUGAUUAGUUAGUUGGCGGGGUAACGGCCCACCAAGACGAUGAUCAUUAGGGGAACUGAGAGGUUGAUCCCCCACACUGGCACUGAGAUACGGGCCAGACUCCUACGGGAGGCAGCAGUAGGGAAUAUUGGACAAUGGGUGCGAGCCUGAUCCAGCCAUGCCGCGUGCAGGAAGACGGCCUUCUGGGUUGUAAACUGCUUUUGCCAGGGGAUAAAAAGUCCCUGCGGGGAAAAUUGAAGGUACCUGGUGAAUAAGCCACGGCUAACUACGUGCCAGCAGCCGCGGUAAUAC
rnacentral:rRNA from 1 species